rnacentral:lncRNA from 1 species
AUGAUGACAUCAAGGAAGCAUGAGGAGAGGGACGACAAAAAUCAAGCCAAUUGGAGAAGGCCCAGGAUGCAGUGGAUCACUUUGGUGUCUUCAGUGUCUGACCGAGCUCUAAGCACUCUACAAUGCCUGCUUCAGAUGCCAUCAUGGCUGUUGAAACAAAUUGUUCUCAUCUUCCCUUUCCACUGGGAGAAGUCUUCACAUGCUUGGGAUAGACAUCCUCCUAGAUUACUAACAGGUUUAGGUCUGUUGCCUCUCCUCAACCAAGGACUUCUCCCUAUGCCAGACAUUCUAUCCACUGUCAUCACCAGUAAAAAGGAGUGGUCAUUGGAUCUCAUGAGUCUUAUCAGGCUUAUAUUUGGAAUCUCCGCCAUAUUUGGAAUUUUUGCUCAAGGAAGAGAACCUGCCUUCUGA